rnacentral:rRNA from 1 species
GAUGAACGCUGGCGGCGUGCCUAAUACAUGCAAGUCGAGCGAAUGGAUUAAGAGCUUGCUCUUAUGAAGUUAGCGGCGGACGGGUGAGUAACACGUGGGUAACCUGCCCAUAAGACUGGGAUAACUCCGGGAAACCGGGGCUAAUACCGGAUAACAUUUUGAACCGCACGGUUCGAAAUUGAAAGGCGGCUUCGGCUGUCACUUAUGGAUCGACCCGCGUCGCAUUAGCUAGUUGGUGAGGUAACGGCUCACCAAGGCAACGAUGCGUAGCCGACCGGAGAGGGUGAUGGGCCACACGAGGAAUGAGACACGGCCCAGACUCCUGCGGGAGGCAGCAGUAGGGAAUCUUCCGUAAUGGACGAAAGUCUGACGGAGCAACGCCGCGUGAGUGAUGAAGGCUUUCGGGUCGUAAAACUCUGUUGUUAGGGAAGAACAAGUGCUAGUUGAAUAAGCUGGCACCUUGACGGUACCUAACCAGAAAGCCACGGCUAACUACGUGCCAGCCGCCGCAGUAA